UACGAAGGGUGCAAGCGUUACUCGGAAUUACUGGGCGUAAAGCGUGCGUAGGUGGUUUGUUAAGUCUGUUGUGAAAGCCCCGGGCUCAACCUGGGAAUGGCAAUGGAUACUGGCAAGCUAGAGUGCGGUAGAGGGUAGUGGAAUUCCCGGUGUAGCGGUGAAAUGCGCAGAUAUCGGGAAGAACACCCGUGGCGAAGGCGGCUUUCUGGGACGGUACUGACGCUGAGACGCGAAAGCGUGGGGAGCGAACAGG
rnacentral:rRNA from 1 species